rnacentral:lncRNA from 1 species
GUUCAGAAGUUCGUUUUUCACGUGCCGAGGAAUUAGAUGUCAGACCCCAAAACAAACAGACUUGUCUGACUCCUUGGUUCUGAGUAAUUUCUGAACAAGACAAUGGCCCCAUGAUGAAGGCAGAGUUGAAUUUUGCAGCUAAGUAUUGAAUUCCCUUUUCAAGUUUUGCUUUUCUUUACCAAUGCACUGAAGGGACCAUGAGCAAACCUAUAACUAAAUGCAUUUAACAGAUUUAAGUGAACAGGAUAAGAAGUGGUGCCUGGAUGAGCAGCAACACUACAGCCAAGACCAGUCUCUUCUGGGGCAGUCACUUGGCUCAGUACCUCCUAGCACAGGAGAGUUGGAGCAUCUCAACGCAAAGACAUGUCAGCAAACACAGGACAAAGCUCCUUUUACUUUGCAUUUCAGUCCAGGUUUCAUAGCUGACUAGUUAUCUCAGUUUCUGGUGGAGAAGGAAAACUUCUGUCCCUACAAAGUCUGUGACUCAGCCGUGGUAGGAGAAACAUCUCUUAGUCUUCCAUUGAUCAGCUGCUGAAUCUACAAAGCUGUCUUCAAUUUUUAUAUUUACGUGUUAUCCUUGCUGCACUCAGCUGCCGGGUUAUGACUGUGUAAGACAUAUGAACCUGCCCCCAUUGGUGACUGCCACAAACUCUGAAGUAUAGGAUUUCCAGGUGCCCCGCAAUGGAGAAUGAGCUUCCUUUCAGCCCCGCCAUGAGGAUACCAUAUAUUCAAAUCUACCUACAACACGCUCAGAUUACUACACCCAGACCCCUAUCCAAUUGGACUACCCUUUCCAUAAAUGUAAUAGGCUCCAUCUUGAAACCUGGAAGCAAAGGAAAUACUAAACACCCUCCAUUCUGGGGACAGUAAGCACAACUCCACACAUCACAUGCUCUGACUGGACAGCCAGAACUCCCCUUUCUGUAUCCCCUCCACAAUUUCAUCCAAACUCCUUUAAACUUUCAUAAUUAAGCCAGUUGUGGACCUCUGCUUCAUUCUCUUGCUGCUGAGUGUGGUCAUCCUCAACAUCCACCUGCUUUAGGCUACAGAGCUCUUCUCAUUAUCUACUGGCAAUCCGUGUUCGUGGGGGAGAGGCUCCUGGGUUGCUAACUUUACAGAGCACGCCAUGCAUAGCUACUCCAAGACCAGCCCAAUCAGUGCU